UACGGGGGGAGCAAGCGUUGUUCGGAUUUACUGGGCGUAAAGGGCGCGUAGGCGGUCAGCACAAGUCAGUUGUGAAAUCUCCGGGCUUAACCCGGAAAGGUCAACUGAUACUGUGCGACUAGAGUGCGGAAGGGGCAACUGGAAUUCUCGGUGUAGCGGUGAAAUGCGUAGAUAUCUGGAGGAACACCGGUGGCGAAGGCGGCAUCCUGGACCGGCAUUGACGCUGAGGCGCGAAAGCCAGGGGAGCAAACGGG
rnacentral:rRNA from 1 species